rnacentral:snRNA from 1 species
AUACCUUUCUCGGCCUUUUGGCUAAGAUCAAGUGUAGUAUCUGUUCUUAUCAGUUUAAUAUCUGAUAUGUGGUCCAAUGGAUCACAUGAUAUUAAAUUACUUUUUUGAGGGGGAGGAGCCACUACAAUAGCUUGCUAUUGGGCUUUUCGUGUGUCGCCCAUGCGUUACACUAUUGCAUAGGCUGGCGCACCCCAC